rnacentral:rRNA from 1 species
CGCAUACGGUGGAUGCCUUGGCAGUCAGAGGCGAUGAAAGACGUGGUAGCCUGCGAAAAGCUUCGGGGAGUCGGCAAACAGACUUUGAUCCGGAGAUGUCUGAAUGGGGGAACCCAGCCAUCAUAAGAUGGUUACCUUACACUGAAUACAUAGGUGUAUGGAGCGAACCAGGGGAACUGAAACAUCUAAGUACCCUGAGGAAAAGAAAUCAACCGAGAUUCCCUUAGUAGUGGCGAGCGAACGGGGACUAGCCCUUAAGUGGCUUUGAGAUUAGCGGAACGCUCUGGAAAGUGCGGCCAUAGUGGGUGAUAGCCCUGUACGCGAAAAUCUCUUAGUCAUGAAAUCGAGUAGGACGGAGCACGAGAAACUUUGUCUGAAUAUGGGGGGACCAUCCUCCAAGGCUAAAUACUACUGACUGACCGAUAGUGAACUAGUACCGUGAGGGAAAGGCGAAAAGAACCCCGGAGAGGGGAGUGAAAUAGAUCCUGAAACCGUAUGCGUACAAGCAGUGGGAGCAGACUUUGUUCUGUGACUGCGUACCUUUUGUAUAAUGGGUCAGCGACUUAUUUUCAGUGGCGAGCUUAACCGAAUAGGGGAGGCGUAGCGAAAGCGAGUCUUAAUAGGGCGUCUAGUCGCUGGGAAUAGACCCGAAACCGGGCGAUCUAUCCAUGGGCAGGUUGAAGGUUGGGUAACACUAACUGGAGGACCGAACCGACUACCGUUGAAAAGUUAGCGGAUGACCUGUGGAUCGGAGUGAAAGGCUAAUCAAGCUCGGAGAUAGCUGGUUCUCCUCGAAAGCUAUUUAGGUAGCGCCUCAUGUAUCACUGUAGGGGGUAGAGCACUGUUUCGGCUAGGGGGUCAUCCCGACUUACCAAACCGAUGCAAACUCCGAAUACCUACAAGUGCCGAGCAUGGGAGACACACGGCGGGUGCUAACGUCCGUCGUGAAAAGGGAAACAACCCAGACCGUCAGCUAAGGUCCCAAAGUUAUGGUUAAGUGGGAAACGAUGUGGGAAGGCUUAGACAGCUAGGAGGUUGGCUUAGAAGCAGCCACCCUUUAAAGAAAGCGUAAUAGCUCACUAGUCGAGUCGGCCUGCGCGGAAGAUGUAACGGGGCUCAAACCAUACACCGAAGCUACGGGUAUCACCUUCGGGUGAUGCGGUAGAGGAGCGUUCUGUAAGCCUGUGAAGGUGAGUUGAGAAGCUUGCUGGAGGUAUCAGAAGUGCGAAUGCUGACAUGAGUAACGAUAAUGGGUGUGAAAAACACCCACGCCGAAAGACCAAGGUUUCCUGCGCAACGUUAAUCGACGCAGGGUUAGUCGGUCCCUAAGGCGAGGCUGAAAAGCGUAGUCGAUGGAAAACAGGUUAAUAUUCCUGUACUUCUGGUUAUUGCGAUGGAGGGACGGAGAAGGCUAGGCCAGCUUGGCGUUGGUUGUCCAAGUUUAAGGUGGUAGGCUGGAAUCUUAGGUAAAUCCGGGAUUCUAAGGCCGAGAGCU